rnacentral:lncRNA from 1 species
CAAUUAUUGCUAUAUAUUUUAGAUGAGUUGUAAUAUAAAUAAUUGUAUUCAAAAGAUCUGGACCGAAUAAGGUAAUAUGGUUAUUUUUGGUACAAAUAUCCGAACCCGUCUCAGAUACAUUUGUUAUUUAGAUAUUUUUAGAUUCCUAUACAUCAGAACUGAACUCAUCCAGACCCGGAAGAACUCAACUCAAAACCCAUAGAUAAAUUUAUACUAUUUAAGUGGGGCCUAAUUAAAAAAAUUA